CAGCCGCCACGGUAAAACGAAGGGUGCAAGCGUUACUCGGAAUUACUGGGCGUAAAGCGUGCGUAGGUGGUGGUUUAAGUCCGUUGUGAAAGCCCUGGGCUCAACCUGGGAAUUGCAGUGGAUACUGGGUCACUAGAGUGUGGUAGAGGAUAGUGGAAUUUCCGGUGUAGCAGUGAAAUGCGUAGAGAUCGGAAGGAACAUCUGUGGCGAAGGCGACUAUCUGGGCCAACACUGACACUGAGGCACGAAAGCGUGGGGAGCAAACAGGAUUAGAUACCCCCGUAGUCCCUGUCUCUUAUAC
rnacentral:rRNA from 1 species